UACGGAGGGGACUAGCGUUGUUCGGAAUUACUGGGCGUAAAGCGCACGUAGGCGGAUUUGUAAGUCAGGGGUGAAAUCCCGGGGCUCAACCUCGGAACUGCCUUUGAUACUGCAAAUCUCGAGUCCGGAAGAGGUGAGUGGAAUUCCUAGUGUAGAGGUGAAAUUCGUAGAUAUUCGGAAGAACACCAGUGGCGAAGGCGGCUCACUGGACCGGUAUUGACGCUGAGGUGCGAAAGCGUGGGGAGCAAACAGG
rnacentral:rRNA from 1 species